CCAUUGAUAAAUACAUUUAGUAAUGGAUUUCUUUAUUUAGAAAUGAAUUUUUUUAUUUCUAAUUUUAUUUUUUUCUUAUAGUGUGAGUAUAUUUAUGUUAAUGGUUGGAGCUAAUCGGACUUUCAGUGGAAGCAUGAUACGCCUACUGAAGAUGUAUCUGGGAUAAAAUUAUUAUUAAAAAUUAUUUAGAAAAAUAAAUGGUUAAGAAGCUACCCAUAGAUACACAUGGGUUGGCUGAGCCAUACUC
rnacentral:lncRNA from 1 species